UACAGAGGGGGCAAGCGUUGUUCGGAAUUACUGGGCGUAAAGCGCACGUAGGCGGCUCUUUAAGUCGGGGGUGAAAUCCUGGAGCUCAACUCCAGAACUGCCUUCGAUACUGGAGAGCUCGAGUCCGGGAGAGGUGAGUGGAACUGCGAGUGUAGAGGUGAAAUUCGUAGAUAUUCGCAAGAACACCAGUGGCGAAGGCGGCUCACUGGCCCGGUACUGACGCUGAGGUGCGAAAGCGUGGGGAGCAAACAGG
rnacentral:rRNA from 1 species